rnacentral:lncRNA from 1 species
GGCACAACAAAGGCGGCGGGCGACGCGUCCCGGGCGGGCUCCGCAGAUUAUGUUAUAACCUAUGAUCACAGAAAGUCCUGAUCCUCACGUUUCUCUGCUGUCACCUGUGGGCUCCUCCAGAGCCGUGAAGAAGGGGGAACUCCAGCCCCACCAUGACAAGACCGGGUCUUCCGUGCAUGGCGACUCCACCCAUGUGAGAGCUCUCUUAUGUGAGUCCUCAGCAGCACAUUGUGCUGUCUGUGGUCUGUGGACACUGACUGCCAUCUAAGCAACACCACAGCUCCCUCCUCUCCCCCUAGACGCCACUGUCUUAGAGCCUCCAUGUGCAUUUGCUAUGACAUACAUCAGUGUUGAUGAGAGACAGGAACACUGCCGGGUGAUCUCGAGCUGCCAAAAUAAUCAGCUCUGUGCACAACAUGGCUUAAAGGAUUUUUCGGUUAGCAGCAUGCAUCCACUAAAGAACCUAGACACUCACAUUUUUUCUGGGGACUUCCACACUCUAGACUACUGCCACACGGGCAGGGCACCUUUGGCCGGUCCUGUGGAAAACCGGAUGUAUCGGAGCGUGGAGAACCUUCACUGGGCAACUGUUGCCGACUCUGGGCUGUAUUCUCACUGCCGGAGCCUGGAUAACGAGAUCAUCUUUCGCUAUAGAGGCACCAGUCAGUGGACAGAAGGCUGUGUGGAUGUGGCCCCAGUACAGAGCACGUCGGACUCUCCAAGAGACCUUUCUCUCCGUGCUAAACAGACGUCUCAAUCGGCACAGAACGUGCUCUUCCCUCCCUUUGCCAAAGUGCCUCAGUGGCUCUUCCCUUCUGCAGAGGAAAGAGCCCUACAUGGGGAUGCCAGAAAAGAGCUGAAGGAGAAGCUGAGGCUGCACAGCAGUAAGGUGGCAGAGCCCUGUAAGCCAGUGCGUCCCCAGGUGGCCCUGCCUGACCUGAUGGCCCGGGAGUUCUUUGAGUGCCAGGUGUGUCGGCAGUGCAAGAACGGUUGUGCUGUCAACUACUGCACGGUGUUGGUGGAACACACUGCCCUCAGGCGCGGCCUCACAGGGAGACAGGGACUGUGCUUUGCACACAGGAUCAUCAGUCCAGAAGACAUCAAGCAGGAGGCUCAGAGGAGGCUUCAGCUCCGAAGGCAGAAUAGCUCCCCCAGUUUGCCCCUUCAGCUCACAGGGGAAAGCCAUGAGAUGGGCAAAUCCAGAACAGCAGAAACCCUAGAACAAUACAGUGGGGAAACAGAUGGCAAAGUCACAUUGGGACAGAGCAAGAAAGGUCGCUGUAAAGGGAGGCUCUACAUACCCACCUUUGAGGAAUUUAAGCAGAUGAGAAGAAAGGAAGGAAAUUCAUCUGCCAGCAGCAGUGAGACAACAGAGUGCUUGAAUAAGGGUUUGCCUGCAAACCAGACACUGGAGAAGGAAAAGAAUGUCUGUCCAGAAGCUUUGGGGACCAGAGCUGUCAAUGAAUCUGCUGUCACAGUGGAGGAUGAUGACGAUGUAUUCCACGAAAACCACACCUCUGCUGGCUUUUCCCAGUAUCCAGCCACAUGGGAUGGUUUCAGGAUGAGCAGUCCUGAGCUGAAGGACAAAACCUUCCAUACCUCUAGCCCAGAUACAUCGCCAGUCCCUAUUUGCUCCAGUCCAAUUCCACGAUCACCUUUACAGGCAGUAGCAAUACACAGAACUGGGCAGGAGAUCUUGAGUGAUGAGCAGCAGAAAGGAGAGACAAGAAAAUUAAAUGAUGUCCUCCACCUUGCAGGGCAGUCCCUGGCUUCUGAAGCCCAGUCCUCUUGCUGUUCAUCGCUGCUGUUAGAAGCUACAGACUUAUCCAGCUAUGGAGCUAAGCUACAAAAAAUGAAGGAUGAAUUCAUAGGUUCAGCCUUGGAACUUAUUAAGAAAAGCUGCAAUGCUGAGACUGCUGCCAAAUCCCCCUCUAAGGGACAGUGUGAUCUGAGGGAAGCUGAUCUCCCACCUCCGGAGGACAGCCAGCAGCCCACAGCGAUGUCCAUGGCAACAGAGACCUGGGAGAACAAGCCAAGCAAUGAGACAGCCAGCGCCACUCCACCUGCAGGGAAU